AGGGAAUCUUCCACAAUGGACGAAAGUCUGAUGGAGCAACGCCGCGUGAGUGAAGAAGGUUUUCGGAUCGUAAAACUCUGUUGUAAGGGAAGAACAAGUACAGUAGUAACUGGCUGUACCUUGACGGUACCUUAUCAGAAAGCCACGGCUAACUACGUGCCAGCAGCCGCGGUAAUACGUAGGUGGCAAGCGUUGUCCGGAAUUAUUGGGCGUAAAGCGCGCGCAGGCGGUCCUUUAAGUCUGAUGUGAAAUCACGUGGCUCAACCACGUGCGGUCAUUGGAAACUGGAGGGCUUGAGUGCAGAAGAGGAAAGUGGAAUUCCAAGUGUAGCGGUGAAAUGCGUAGAGAUUUGGAGGAACACCAGUGGCGAAGGCGACUUUCUGGUCUGUAACUGACGCUGAGGCGCGAAAGCGUGGGGAGCAAAC
rnacentral:rRNA from 1 species